UAGGGAAUCUUCCGCAAUGGACGCAAGUCUGACGGAGCAACGCCGCGUGAGUGAAGAAGGAUUUCGGUUCGUAAAACUCUGUUGUUAGAGAAGAACAGCGCAUAGAGUAACUGUUAUGCGUGUGACGGUAUCUAACCAGAAAGCCACGGCUAACUACGUGCCAGCAGCCGCGGUAAUACGUAGGUGGCAAGCGUUGUCCGGAUUUAUUGGGCGUAAAGCGAGCGCAGGCGGUCAAUUAAGUCUGAUGUGAAAGCCCCCGGCUCAACCGGGGAGGGUCAUUGGAAACUGGUUGACUUGAGUGCAGAAGAGGAGAGUGGAAUUCCAUGUGUAACGGUGAAAUGCGUAGAUAUCGGGAAGAACACCAAUGGCGAAGGCAGGUCUCUGGGCUGUUACUGACGCUGAGAAGCGAAAGCGUGGGGAGCGAACAGG
rnacentral:rRNA from 1 species